rnacentral:rRNA from 1 species
AGUGAACGCUGGCGGUAGGCCUAACACAUGCAAGUCGAACGGCAGCACAGGAGAGCUUGCUCUCUGGGUGGCGAGUGGCGGACGGGUGAGGAAUACAUCGGAAUCUACUCUGUCGUGGGGGAUAACGUAGGGAAACUUACGCUAAUACCGCAUACGACCUACGGGUGAAAGCAGGGGAUCUUCGGACCUUGCGCGAUUGAAUGAGCCGAUGUCGGAUUAGCUAGUUGGCGGGGUAAAAGCCCACCAAGGCGACGAUCCGUAGCUGAUCUGAGAGGAUGAUCAGCCACACUGGAACUGAGACACGGUCCAGACUCCUACGGGAGGCAGCAGUGGGGAAUAUUGGACAAUGGGCGCAAGCCUGAUUCAGCCAUACCGCGUGGGUGAAGAAGGCCUUCGGGUUGUAAAGCCCUUUUGUUGGGAAAGAAAUCCAGCUGGCUAAUACCCGGUUGGGAUGACGGUACCCAAAGAAUAAGCACCGGCUAACUUCGUGCCAGCCGCCGCAGUAA